AGAACGAACGCUGGCGGCACGCCUAACACAUGCAAGUCGAGCGCCCAGCAAUGGGAGCGGCGGACGGGUGAGUAACACGUGGGAAUAUGCCUUUCGGUACGGAACAACUCAGGGAAACUUGAGCUAAUGCCGUAUACGCCCUUACGGGGAAAGAUUUAUCGCCGAAAGAUUAGCCCGCGUCUGAUUAGCUAGUUGGUGAGGUAAUGGCUCACCAAGGCUUCGAUCAGUAGCUGGUUUGAGAGAACGACCAGCCACACUGGGACUGAGACACGGCCCAGACUCCUACGGGAGGCAGCAGUGGGGAAUCUUGGACAAUGGGGAAACCCUGAUCCAGCGAUGCCGCGUGAGUGAUGAAGGCCUUCGGGUUGUAAAACUCUUUCGACGGGACGAUAAUGACGGUACCCGUAGAGAAGCUCCGGCUAACUUCGUGCCAGCAGCCGC
rnacentral:rRNA from 1 species